UACGUAGGGUGCAAGCGUUGUCCGGAAUUAUUGGGCGUAAAGGGCUCGUAGGCGGUCCGUCACGUCGGGGAGUGAAAACUUGGGGCUUAACCCCAAGCCUGCUUCCGAUACGGGCGGACUAGAGGUAGGCAGGGGAGAACGGGAAUUCCUGGUGUAGCGGUGAAAUGCGCAGAUAUCAGGAGGAACACCAGUGGCGAAAGGCAG
rnacentral:rRNA from 1 species